CGGCUCCUCCAGAGCCUGAUACACACCGUCGGCGUAAUUGGCUGGUACGCGGCGCUGCAACCGGCAGCCUGCGGAGGCAGGGAGCGGGGCUCUGUCUAAGCACUCCAUCCCCUAGGAUCCCCCAAACCUCGCCCUAAGCCUCCCUCAGAUUAGAAGUUGGAGCCAACUGGGUGCAUUGUCUUAGACUUUCCCCCUCUCCCAGAACCUAGGUUGUGCAUUUUUCAGUUCUGGGAGGACCCAGCUUUUCUGCAUCUUAAUCUGUGUUGCUUUCCCUGGAACACGGGGGUCCCUAGGGCACAAGGCAGCUGUGCUCAGCAGGAACCCAAGGGCCAGAGUGGGGCCUAGGCAGGGACUCACCCACACUGAGCAGAGGGACAGGA
rnacentral:lncRNA from 1 species